ACACAAUUGCUCUCAUUCCACUAAUGAAAUAUGUAUUUAUAGUGCUCAAGGCUAAUGAUAGUGGAGAAGGAGGAACAUUUGCACUUUAUUCAUUGAUCUGCAGGUAUGCAAAUGUCAACCUUCUUCCCAAUCGACAGCCAGCUGAUGAACACAUCUCAAGUUUUAAGCUCAAGUUACCUACUCCAGAACUGCAAAGGGCUUUAAACAUAAAGGAAGUCUUGGAACGUAAAUCUUCUCUGAAAACCCUUGUCUUGCUAUUGGUUCUGAUGGGAACAUCAAUG
rnacentral:misc_RNA from 1 species